GACCUAUGGGUCACACCUGGAGAGUUUCCAGUCCUCUACCAGAUUCGACUACCGGAGGGAAAGUCAAGCAGAGACAGACCCAUUCCAUUCCUAGCUUGGACAGUGGCUAGCGAGUGGAAGGCAAUCUGCUACGAAC